rnacentral:rRNA from 1 species
GAUGAACGCUGGCGGCGUGCCUAAUACAUGCAAGUCGAGCGAACAGACGCGGAGCUUGCUCCUCUGACGUUAGCGGCGGACGGGUGAGUAACACGUGGAUAACCUACCUAUAAGACUGGGAUAACUUCGGGAAACCGGAGCUAAUACCGGAUAAUAUAUUGAACCGCAUGGUUCAAUAGUGAAAGACGGUUUUGCUGUCACUUAUAGAUGGAUCCGCGCCGCAUUAGCUAGUUGGUAAGGUAACGGCUUACCAAGGCAACGAUGCGUAGCCGACCUGAGAGGGUGGUCGGCCACCCUGGAGCGGAGACACGGUCCAGACUCCUACGGGACGCAGCAGUAGGGAAUCUUCCGCAAUGGGCGAAAGCCUGACGGAGCAACGCCGCGUGAGUGAUGAAGGUCUUCGGAUCGUAAAACUCUGUUAUUAGGGAAGAACAAAUGUGUAAGUAACUAUGCACGUCUUGACGGUACCUAAUCAGAAAGCCACGGCUAACUACGUG